CGAAGGGGUCAACAACUUCCGGGUCUCGCUUCUCGGUGUCGCUCACCACGUGCGCUGCUGCUGCUGCUCAUCGCCAUGCCCAAAGCUCAGAAGGCGAAGCCUGUGGCCAAGGCGGUGCACCCCUACAGCCGCAAGGCAGCGCAGUUGGCUCGCGAAGCCCACAAACAGGACAAGAAGGAAAAAUUAAAAACUGUCAAGGCUGUAAAGCUGAACCUCAUUGGACAGAAGUUAGACUGGUUUAAAAAAAACCUCGAUGGCGACAAGACGCAGUACACAAAACAGGAAAUGUGUGCUGUCAUUGAAAGAUACCUCGACCGUUUUGCCGCGGAGCUGGAGCAGAUCGACCUGGUGAACAGCGUGACGGGGCGGCAGGGCCGACAGCACGGCCCGCGGGAGGCCGCCAUCCGCCAGACGCUGCAGCGCGAGCGCGAGCUUUACGACGGCACCGGCCUCGAAGUUCCUGAUGUGAUCAAUGGAAAGAAUCUGAGAGUGUUCAGGGAGUGGGAUGGGGACCUCAAGGGUCUGCCAAACCUCAAGAUGAGAAAGGUCUCGUCCAAAGAUGCCACAGCAACAGAGAAACAGGAACAGGCGGCGGAAAAUUCCGACAAGGAUGACGCGGAUGAAAUGGAGGGAAACGCUUCUCCAUGACGCCACGUCACAAAUAAAUCACGCCACCUACCCAUGCGCAGGCUUUGUGUCGGUUCGCGUUGGUUUCCACGGAGAGGGCAUCGGCCUCCGUUUCUUUGCCGUUGGGUGCGUUCUGUUGGAGGCUGCGGGCGGGUGACGACGUGGACAGACUUCUCCUUGACAGCAGCUCUUCGGCCAGAGCCUCGGGGCAGCUGCUCACGUGGAUGAUGCGAUUGUAAGCCUCGAGGCGUCGCCACAUGCGCACGUAGACCUUGCACUGCACGUACAUGAAGACCGUUCCGCCCGUGAACCCGAUGGCAACCACGGCGAGCUUGGUCCAGAAUGGCCACUCCAGCACACCUGCAAACAACAAAAGAAAGCUGCAGCAAAAGUCACGCCGUUGCAAGCAUUGUGUAAUGCGUCAAAAAAACGCGUUUGACCACGGAGGUAUUUAAUAAGCGAUGUUAUAUUGAGAGCUGCAGAACGAGGUGACGAGGGCAAGGGCACGUCAGGUGAUUUUGGGCAUUGGUUCACUGGUUCCACCUGCAAUAGGAACCAGUUCAAUAUAUACCAUGUUUCUGUAAGUUGUCAAUGAGCUGUUGGAGAAGGGAUACAAAAAUAGAUUAUUUGCUGUUACAUUGGGAUUCCGAAGAAUAUUACCAAUCAUCUAAAUAGUGUAUGUAUGUUGAACUUUCGCACAUUACGGAGCCAACUACGUUGUUAAUAUUUCAACAUGUACAGCUCAGUGGCAGUUUUUAAAGUGCAUAACUGAUUACUGCGUUUUUUUAAUCGUUUCCAUAUGUUUUGUCCCAAUUGUACGAUCAGUGUUUGAAAUUCGCAGAGCAGUCCACCCCCAUGUUAAUGAUUGGUCUGUGGAAGGAGAUAUCACAGAACUGCCUCUGAAAUCCGAUCAAGUGAGAUCUGGUCCACGGUAGGGGGUUUCACUUGCCCACCCGCUCUGCCACAGAUCAAAUUGAUCAUUGUGGGACAAACUGAUAUUUUUAUUUAUCGCAGAUGGAAUUUUUGCCAAAUUCAGUGCAGAACCAAAUUUAAUGUCAUAGGGGGUUUUAUUGUGCAGUCAUUGGUGUGACCAGGCUGACACCAUUAAACUCGCAGCUCUGAUUAACACGCUUGGUGGCGAAAUAAGUUCAACAUACAACUCAUUACAUUGGAGAACCCGGUUUAAUCACAGGCAAAAUUGAUUCGAAACCAGGAUCUCGGUCGUGCCAGCUCAGCGCUUUUUGACCACUGAGCCACCUGGCCACUUCAACUGAGCCCCGUUUUGGUGAGAGCAGGUGUUGGGGUGGAAAGAUGUUUGUAGAUGGUGCUGCACGCACCACUGUGCUGAGCCUGGCGAAUCUCCUCUGCCGUUCGGGAGACGAGAAUGUAGAGCGACCACACCACGCACACGAUGGCAACGACGUGGACCACGACCGAAAACGUGAGCUUUCUCCUGUCCCGCGCUGUCAUCUGCAGCUUCUCCCACUGUUCAAGAAAAAAACACCACGUCCAGCACGUCAAAUCGACAUUCGUAACAGAUGUACGUGUUAUGGUAACAAUUAUUGUCGCCAGCGUAGGUCAUGAUCGAUACACUCAAGCGGAGGGUCGAGCAUGGGUUCCAGGUUUUGUGGGUUUGAGCAUUGGGUCGAGCAUGGAAUCGUAACAAUUAUUAUUUAUUUGGAUUCCUGUUCCAUACCACCUUAUUUGGGCAUGACCUACCUACUUAUAUUUUUAUUUGGCCCACUUCAGCAGUUUUUUCUUGCUGUGGUUGUCCCACCUGAUGACGAUCACUUGUGUUAAGAUCGAAACGUCGUGAUCGAUUAUUUUUCUACCUACGUGACUUUACCGAAAGAACCAAAGAGUAUGGAUACCUACUUUUUAAUUUAAGGCCUCCAUAUUUCACGGACUUAAUUCUAUCGCUUGAGCGCUGUGCCAUCGUGUGCGUUGGGGUUGCAAUGCCCGGUGCUGGUUACUUUGCACAGGGGUUUCAGCGUGCUCUCCAUGACAAAGCUGUAGUUGCAUAGCUCGCAACAGCUCGCGCCCGAGCUCUUGAUCCACUGUUGCAGGCACGCCUGGUGGACAAACUGCAGGGAGCCCGUGCACUGGCACGGCACGAUGAGAGGGCUUUCCUCAUCUCCCUCACAGUGGCAGAUUCUGAAAGAGCAAAAAAAAACAGUAGUUCCUUUAGGCCAGAGCAUAAAUUGGUACCACAAAAUGUGGAAUCACUUCAGCCGCGCCAAUGUGUAUAUAUGACCAGUAAGAAUGAAUUAUUUGAUAACUCACCAACUUCAAAUUGUUAUCACACAAUUCGCUGAUGUUGGCCACAAAUAAAAUAGAACGAAUGAAGACAUUUCACCUCCUCAGGUGGUGCAGACAAGUGUAAUAUCUGGUCUGUGGCGAUGGAGUCGAUUGCCCCCCCACCUCCCCAACUUGAGACCCCAAAAUGUAGUACUGAUAUUUUGCAAAUAAUAUAAACAUGCUCUACAAUUUCCCUUCUAUGGCAUGUAUAUCAACGUCUUUUUAGGAGACGGGGAACUGUAAAUGCUUCUUUCAAAGAAAAUCGUUCGCCAAGAUUAACAAAGAAAAAAAGCGAUCAAAUAAAGAGAUGCAUGAGAGAACUUUCGGAAAGCUGAACUUGAUGAUAAAAGGAAACAUUUCAAUGUGCCUAAAGAGUAAACGUUUUAAUCUGAAGUUGUGUGUGGAUGGCAAAACAAAUGGACAUGAAUGAAGAAAAUGGAACUUGGUUGAAAAGACACAGCG